rnacentral:rRNA from 1 species
AUUGAACGCUGGCGGCAGGCUUAACACAUGCAAGUCGAGCGGAGCGAGGGUGCUUGCACCUUAGCUUAGCGGCGGACGGGCGAGUAAUGCUUAGGAAUCUGCCUAUUAGUGGGGGACAACAUUCCGAAAGGGAUGCUAAUACCGCAUACGCCCUACGGGGGAAAGCAGGGGAUCUUUGGACCUUGCGCUAAUAGAUGAGCCUAAGUCGGAUUAGCUAGUUGGUGGGGUAAAGGCCUACCAAGGCGACGAUCUGUAGCGGGUCUGGGAGGAUGAUCCGCCACACGGGGAAUGGGACACUGCCCAGACUCCUACGGGAGGGAGGAGUGGGGAAUAUUGGAAAAUGGGGGGAAGCCUGAUCCAGGCAAUGCGGGGGUGUGGAGAAGGGCUUUUGGUUGUAAAGGUCUUUACGCGAGGAGGAGGCUCUUAAGGUUAAUUCCCUUGAUGAGUGGACGUUACUCGCAGAAUAAGCACCGGCUAACUCUGUGCCAGCCGCCGCCGUAAAAC